rnacentral:tRNA from 1 species
GAGCAUGAAUUGUGUUAGCUUUGCAAAAGCUAAAGAGAAUUAUUUAGUGGUUCCAUGUUUU